rnacentral:rRNA from 1 species
UACGUAGGCAGCAAGCGUUGUUCGGAGUUACUGGGCGUAAAGAGCGCGCAGGCGGUCGUUCAAGUCGAGUGUGAAAGCCCCCGGCUCAACUGGGGAGGGUCAUUCGAUACUGAUCGACUCGAAGGCAGGAGAGGGAAGCGGAAUUCCCGGUGUAGUGGUGAAAUGCGUAGAUAUCGGGAGGAACACCAGUGGCGAAGGCGGCUUCCUGGCCUGUUCUUGACGCUGAGGCGCGAAAGCUAGGGGAGCAAACGGG